GCUAGAGGAGUCCAAUGGCUGUGAUUUAGUUCAGGGAGACAAUUUAAGGCUGAUGAACUUAACUUUUAUUUAUCUUCCUUGCUGUAUUACAAGUGGCAUAUUAUAGCAAGAACAGAUGGGAUGAGCCAUGUGUUGGCAAGGCACAGGGGUUUCCUUUGAAAGUUAAAUUCUCUAAGGUGAUAUUGUUUUGUUUGUUUUAAUUCAGUUCCUACUUCUAUCUUUAUGUUGUCAAUGUAAGAUCAGAAAAAUAUUUUGGUCACUUUGGCUGAUACAAAAGGUUUCAUUGUGCUGUGACUAACUAGUUUUACUUGAUCGGGUUUGAACCCCGUCAUCCAACGAUGAAUUGAGGCCUUCAACCAAUGAGAAAUGGAUCAAUUUGAUGUAAGUUCAUCUGGUGCUUUAGAAUAUUGAGUGGGAAAAAGUAUCUUGUGCAAAAUUUUGAAGGUCUUUGAUGAGGUAGCACACUUUUUUUCAAGGAAAUAUAUAUCCAACUACUAAUCUGUAUUUCAAGGUGGUGUGGAA
rnacentral:misc_RNA from 1 species